rnacentral:lncRNA from 7 species
ACUAACUGGUUCCCCUGGAAGUAGUGUGGAAUGAUAAGCGUGAGCCCAGAAGGAGAGCUGCCAUUUUUUUGCAGCUCCUGCUUUGGGAACUACAGAAGGAGUAGAGGCUCUUUUAGCUCAAGCCUCCAGAAAUAUGGGUAGCAGAGGCGGCUGCUGUAGGUGUUGGAAACACGCAGUGGAGCUUUUGGCAACUGCUGUCUUGAGCAACUUUGGAAGUCAUCCAAUGGUUAAUGAGUUCAUGUGCCUCCAAGGCAGAUGAUGGAUGUUUUCAACGCAGAGAGGUGGGAGUGUUGGGUAUAAGCUCGUACUUUCCUCUUGUUUCUGAUCUUUCCUCUCCAAGUGAUGCUGUUGAGCUAUGGUCAGCAGCUGCCAGCUCCUCAAGUGCAUUCUGUGUUGCUGAGCAAAGAUAUCGCACCUGAAAAACACCCUCCAGUGGUCUCCUAAUUCAUAAGGCCCUUUCCCAUCCUGCUUCCCAAAUGGUUUGUUGGGGAGAUCCCCAAAUAUAUGAGGGGAAUGGUGACUCUGUAUCCUGCUUGGGCCUCCAGGGACUCUAGACCAUGGGGUCUCCACUUCUGGAGUAAGGCACUUUCUGAGCACGGGGCUGCAAAGUUUGCUAUUUGGGAGCACAUGGGGGGAAACAGCACUGAAAGAGGCAGAGUCUCCUGGCAGGUCCUGGCACUGCACUGCUGCAGCGUGCUCAGCACUUGCUGGAGUCCCUCUUCAGCCCCUUGGGAACACAGGCAGUGCCUGCCUUAAUGAAUUUUGAUGUCAUUAGCCCAAUGCCAGCUCUCAGCUGGUGGCCCGAGAGAGCAUUUGGCAAUGGCUUUGGUGUCUGCUGCGCCUGUGCCUGCUGAUGGAGGAUAUGUGCUGCUGUUUGCUUGAUUGUUUGGUCUCCUUUUGGUGGAGAGAUGACAAUGCGUCUCCAGUAGCCAAGGACCACAGUCUGGCUGUGCUGACAUCCUCUCUGUGGGCUCUGGCCAGCACUGGGGCUGUGCUCCUGGCAGCUGGCCAUCAUAGACCCAAAACUUUUCAGGUUUCUCUCUCAGGCAGCCAAGUUCUUGAGAUUAACUUAGGAAGAAAUGGGGCGUCCAUCCCCUCUGUCUGCUUUUUCACCACCAUGAGCAAUGCUAGGUCAUUCUUAGCCCUCUGGGGUAUGCAAGAAGGAUCGUGGUUUUCACACUGUGCUUUGCAACCAGGGCUUCUCAACCACAAG